GAUAAACGCUGGCGGCGCACAUAAGACAUGCAAGUCGAACGGACUUAACCAUUAGUUUACUAUUGGAGCGGUUAGUGGCGGACUGGUGAGUAACACGUAAGCAACCUGCCUAUCAGAGGGGAACAACAGUUAGAAAUGACUGCUAAUACCGCAUAUGCCUAAGUACCACAUGGUACAAUAGGGAAAGGAGCAAUCCGCUGAUAGAUGGGCUUGCGUCUGAUUAGCUAGUUGGCGGGGUAACGGCCCACCAAGGCGACGAUCAGUAGCCGGACUGAGAGGUUGGCCGGCCACAUUGGGACUGAGACACGGCCCAG
rnacentral:rRNA from 1 species